AUACGUAUGUCGCAAGCGUUAUCCGGAAUUAUUGGGCGUAAAGCGAGUCUAGGCGGCUUGUUAAGUCAGAUGUGAAAAUGCGGGGCUCAACUCCGUAUUGCGUUUGAAACUGGCAGGCUAGAGUACUGGAGAGGUGGGCGGAACUACAAGUGUAGAGGUGAAAUUCGUAGAUAUUUGUAGGAAUGCCGUUAGUGAAGACAGCUCACUGGACAGAUACUGACGCUAAAGCUCGAAAGCGUGGGGAGCGAACAGGAUUAGAAACCCCAGUAGUCC
rnacentral:rRNA from 1 species